CUUGACGUGUGAAGAAAUUGACAAUAAAGCAGACUUUUGACUUUUUUUUUACUUUAAAAAUAAGAUAUGCUAAUAGCUGUACACACAGAACGAAUCAUUUGGGACUAAUCAGACACCCUUGUCGUAUUUCACGCAUUACCUUUAAUCUAGGUGUCAACCCUGGGAAAAAUAAAAAAAGCUUACUACUCGCAGGUUUUACGGCGGGUCGACUCCCUCCGCCAUCUUCCCAUGAUCCACUAAGAAGAAGAAGAUGAAGAAGAAAAAGAAGUAGAAGAAGAAGAUUCGUAGCUGCAGCUGAGCAAACUCGUGUGUAGCAACGUCUGUGGUCGGUUGUUGUUUUUUCGUAACUAACGCUCUGCAAAUAGGUUUUUCUGUCCGGACAAACAGGUCGCGCGCUGAUGCUUCUCGGUCGUGUUUGCUUAUUUGACCUUAGUCGCUAACAAAGAGAAACACACGCUACAUUGUCAAUAAGAGCUCAAGUGGGAAUCUAUUGGGAAUGAUUUUGGAUUGUCGGGUCAACAUGUGUGCAAUACCGACACCAAAGUACGAGGUGAAACUUCGUGGAAUAAAAGAAGAGAACGAGCAACAUUUUCAACUGCUGAGCGAGGUUUGCAAGCACCCUCGUGUUGUGCUACACAGAACAGACAUUAUUGAAGAUUUUGGUCCUGAGCAUCAGGAGCCAGAGCGUCGUCAUGUUAAAGAGGAAGAGGUGGACGUAGAGGUCCCCCACUUUGAGCAAAAGCAGCAGAAGACUCCUUUAAU